rnacentral:rRNA from 1 species
GAUGAACGCUAGCGGCAGGCUUAAUACAUGCAAGUCGUGGGGCAGCAUGAGUAGCAAUACUUGAUGGCGACCGGCAAACGGGUGAGGAACACGUACACAACCUUCCUUCAAGCGGGGAAUAGCCCAGAGAAAUUUGGAUUAAUACCCCAUAAUAUAUUUGAUAAGGCAUCUUAUUAAUAUUAAAGCUUCGGCACUUGAUGAUGGGUGUGCGGCUGAUUAGAUAGUUGGCGGGUAACGGCCCACCAAGUCUAUGAUCAGUAGCUGAUGUGAGAGCAUGAUCAGCCACACGGGCACUGAGACACGGGCCCGACUCCUACGGGAGGCAGCAGUAAGGAAUAUUGGACAAUGGACGAAAGUCUGAUCCAGCCAUGCCGCGUGAAGGAUUAAGGUCCUCUGGAUUGUAAACUUCUUUUAUAUGGGACGAAAAAGGGCAUUCUUGUUCACUUGACGGUACCAUAUGAAUAAGCACCGGCUAACUCCGUGCCAG